UACGUAGGGUGCAAGCGUUUAAUCGGAAUUACUGGGCGUAAAGCGUGCGCAGGCGGUUUUGUAAGUUUGUCGUGAAAGCCCCGGGCUCAACCUGGGAAUUGCGAUGAAGACUGCAAGGCUUGAAUCUGGCAGAGGGGGGUAGAAUUCCACGUGUAGCAGGUGAAAUGCGUAGAGAUGUGGAGGAACACCGAUGGCGAAGGCAGCCCCCUGGGUCAAGAUUGACGCUCAUGCACGAAAGCGUGGGGAGCAAACAGG
rnacentral:rRNA from 1 species